rnacentral:snoRNA from 1 species
GGAAGAUUCAUAAAGAAGGAGAGGCCCAGAGACUGUUUGAUAACAUUGAGAUCAAAGGAGGAAAGGGAUAAGAUUUUGGGCCUACAUCCCAAAAUCUUAUCCCUUUCCUCCUUUGAUCUCAAUGUUAUCAAACAGUCUCUGGGCCUCUCCUUCUUUAUGAAUCUUCCA